AUACGGAGGAUCCGAGCGUUAUCCGGAUUUAUUGGGUUUAAAGGGUGCGCAGGCGGCCAUUUAAGUCAGCGGUUAAAUCGUGGGGCUCAACCCCAUUCUGCCGUUGAUACUGGGUGGCUUGAUUGCGGUCGAGGUUGGCGGAAUUCGUUGUGUAGCGGUGAAAUGCAUAGAUAUGACGAAGAACACCGAUUGCGUAGGCAGCUGACCAGACCGCAAAUGACGCUCAUGCACGAAAGUGCGGGGAUCGAACAGGAUUAGAUACCCUGGUAGUCCGCACAGUAAAUGAUGAAUACUUGUUUUCGGCGAUAUAAUGUCGGAGGCAAAGCGAAAGCGAUAAGUAUUCCACCUGGGGAGUACGCCGGCAACGGUGAAACUCAAAGGAAUUGACGGGG
rnacentral:rRNA from 1 species